GGGUGGGUUGCUGGAGGCAGGUGGGUCACUGGGGGCGGGUAGCUUGCAGGAUGGGUAGCUGGAGGCAGGUUUGAGGGCACCUUAGCGGGUGAGCUGUGGGCGAUUUGUGAUGGGCUGACACCAGGCAGAGCCAGAGCUCCUCAGGGGGCUGGGCUCAGAGGUUACAGGGGAUGUGGGGGAGGGAAGUUGGGGGCAUUUGACCCUUUUCUGGGUUUGUGAGCUGGGGUGAGCUCUGCUGCCAUGAGAGGAGGCUGGGUCACCGGUCACAAUAAUGCAAUGUGAUGACGGGCAUCAAAGUCACAUAACUGAAAUCAAGCUGCCAGCAUGUUGUAAUGCAAUGCUCUGCUUUUAAAAGCAUCUUUAUUCACUCUUCUCAGCUCAGUAGACUAGAAUAGGGGCAAGCUACCUUUGCCUUUACAAAUGCAGUCAUGUUACCAGGAUCUGGAAUGGUCCCCUGCCCUCAUCUCAAUGCCCUUUGCAAGCAGUCUCUGGUGAGUGUGGCUAUUAUAACUUGGGGCAGAAGCUGUUGCAUAUCUCUCUGCACACUGAGGGAGGGAGUGAAUUUCAUGAGCUUACGCUGUACAGUUCUCUGUGCAGCACAAGAUGGAAUGAUUUGGGUUUACCCUCCAGAGGGGGUGUGUGCCUGAGAAGCUGGAAUUAUUUUGGGGCAGUCUCUGGCCUGUGUUAUGCAGGAGGUCAGCCUAGAUGAUCACAAUGGUCCCUUCUGGCCUGGGAAUCUAUGAAUCUAACUAUACUCCGACUCCUCAACACCUCAUCCAAACCCUGAGUCUACAAGGCCCAUGCCUGGCAGGUAGGUCGGCAUGCUGAUGGAGUACAUUGCUGGAGCCUGUUGGGGGUAAAGGAAGAACAGGGACUGAAUGGUCCCCGUAGUUCUCAGGGGUCUGAGUCACUAGAGACAUCUGCUGGUGCAACACAUGAAGGACUUGAAUAAGCUUAUUCCUGCUUGGGAAUGGUCAGUGAGAAGCACCACAGCUGGGCAGUUAGGGGAACUGCACUGGCCAAAAUAUAAAUUCAGAGGCACUCCUCUGAACUUGUUUUUCUUACUGCUGUUUAACAAUUUGUAGAUACUCAAAAUAAAUUACCCUCACCUGGUGUCCUCUGCUUUCCAGUCCUAUUCAUGCAUGCAUAGUUAAAUAUCAAUUACCUACCAUAGGAGAUGCCUGGCUUUCGAACCCAUUAGACCAAAAUGUUAGUCCUAGGAUCACAGCUAUGUUUGGUUAUGCAGAAGUCAUAUUAGAGA